AGCUAAAUAGCUCAGUUUGUUAGAGCAUGGUGUUAAUAAUGCCAAGCCUGCAGGUUCAAUCUCUGUACGGGACAGCUA